GAAGGCCCACCAAGGCGACGAUCAGUAGCUGGUCUGAGAGGACGACCAGCCACACUGGAACUGAGACACGGUCCAGACUCCUACGGGAGGCAGCAGUGGGGAAUUUUGGACAAUGGGGGCAACCCUGAUCCAGCCAUUCCGCGUGAGUGAAGAAGGCCUUCGGGUUGUAAAGCUCUUUCGCAAGGAAAGAAAACUUACCCUCUAACAUAGGGUGAGGCUGACGGUACCUUGAUAAGAAGCACCGGCUAACUACGUGCCAGCAGCCGCGGUAAUACGUAGGGUGCGAGCGUUAAUCGGAAUUACUGGGCGUAAAGCGUGCGCAGGCGGUUUUGCAAGUCAGA
rnacentral:rRNA from 1 species